CUUAAAGAGUUGCUUGUGCUCAACAUUUUUGCGCUCUACCUGAGCGAUCAUCAACGCUGGCUAUGAAGAAUGAGUGCAGCUGGGGAGGAUUAGAUCUUGACAAAACCAGCAGGAGUUGUGGCGUAAUGCUUCGACGCAGGCACAUUUGUUUGCCUUUUUUUGUAUUGCAAAUUUGAGGGUUCAGUUAAACAAGCAAAUGCAAGAUAUGGAAAUAAUUUCAACAACGACCUCGAUAAAGAGUUAUGUAGACGCAAUUCAAUUGUAAAUUCACAAAAAUAAAACAAAUAAAACCGAACACGAAAAACCGGAAGAAUUGAGAACAAGUAUUGGCGAUAAGCUUAAUGGCCCGAAGAGCACACGGCUAGCAUCGACGACAUUGCGCACAUUAUAGCAAAAAUAAACGUUUCGUCCGGGGUGCUGCUGGCCGUCAGUUACUCAUGAGCAGUGGAACAGUGUGAAUUCAAAUUUCUUGAUGCGGAAAACAGAUUGCUGCAAAUGUCGUGUUUUCUUAACAAUAAAUAACUGAGAGGGAGAAAAAAAAAUAUAAUAACAAAUAAAAAAAACAAAAACAAGCUGCAAAUUUUUGAAAACAAGCGAAAACGUGAAAGAAAGCUAUUACUCAUUAUUUUUUGCAAGCUAAACGUAGUUGACGUGCUGUAAAUUGCGAGCCAAAAAUAUUAGCUAAAAGUAAAAUUUGAAAAUUGUUAAAUAAUUAAAAGAACAAAAACACUACUGAGUGCGGCUGAUAGUGACGUGUAUGCUCAACUAUUUUUGGAAAUUAUUUAAAUUGCACAGUUACAUACAUAGGUAGCACACCUGAUUCGUUCCCAACGUACGCGAAGGGGGAAAAAAUACGGAAAAACGUGGAAACGCAAUAGACGAGUAUUAAAGCAGGAGGAAGCAAGGCUGUUGGUUACAUACAUACAUACAUACAAAAAUA